GGGCAUGUGGCGGAAUUGGUAUACGCGUACGUCUCAGAAGCGUAUGGAGCAAUCCUUGGGAGUUCGAGUCUCCCCAUGCCCA
rnacentral:tRNA from 1 species